AUGGGGAGCAAACGCCAGCCCCGGGGGAUAAGGGGGGGGGGGUCUCUCCUUCCCAGCUGGGCUGGGGGUGGGCACGGCAGGCCCUGGGCUGCCCCCGGCCCCGGGGAUCCCAAGGAGGGCUGGGAUAAGCUGAACUCAGCUGUGCAGAGCUGCCCAGCCCUCGCCUCCCCCAGCCUGGCCACGGCCCCCCAGCCACACGUCUCCUCCUCCUCCUCCUCCUCCUCCUCCUCCUCUCGCCAAUCCCCUGUGCUCACUCACUCGCAGCACCCUGGGGAGUCCCCGAGCACCAGCGUGGCCCAGGGCAGAGCCCGUGGCUGCGGCAACGCGGCGGCCGAUGCCGGCACCCCGCGUCUCCGUGCGAGCAGCGAGACGCCGACGGCAGCCCCGGCGCACGGCGAGGGCCGGGGGGCCACGCAGCACGGCACCGCACCGGGGAAAGCGACGGCACCUGGGCUGGGGGCUCCCCGCAGGGCUGAAGCGCCCCAUUUCGCCCCGCUCCCAUCCCUGUGGCUCACCCCUUUCCCUGCUCACCUGAGGUUCUUCCCCUCCUGCUUUCCCCGCCAGGCCCCUGCGCCUCCAUCCCACCGGCACCCCCCUGGCACCCCGCGUCCCGCCGGCACCCACCGGUCCCGGCCAGGCCACAAAGCCAGCGGGAAAACCUCUCCCUGCGACCUUCCAGCCUCCCCACAUCCGCGCCGGCUCCUCCAGCUGCGCGGCGAAGGCGGCGGGUCUGGGGGGGCCGCGGGCGGCCCCCCGCUCGCCAAGAACAAUAGCGCCUUGUUGCAGCCCGGCUCCGGCCUCUCCUGGCCGCCGGGCUGCCAGCACCUCCCUGGGCACGCCGCUGGCCGCGCUCACCUCUACGUCUCGCUCGCUGUUUCCCAGCUCCCUCCUGACAAAUCCCCGUUCCCGAGCGCUUCUCCUCCCCGCGGGUCCAUAUUAAGCUACAUUCUCCUUUCAGCUGGGUGGAAAACAGCAGUAAUAACCAUGUGGAGAGAGCCGUGCCCCCCACCUCCACUUCCCUCCCACUUUGGGGUUCAAAUUUCAUUUCAGCAAAAAAGCUUCCCCCGCCUCCAAUUUCUUCCCCCAAACCGAGUCGCUGUCGUCUCGUCUGAUCUCGGCAGGGGCCGUAUGGAUGCUCAGCUCCUCCUGGUUCAGGAUCUGCUGCCAAUCUGGACCUCGCAAACUGGUUCUCACACAGCUCCCGCCUAGCGCCUCCCUCUCAGCAUUUAUUGUCCCUCCUCAGCCACCGAGCCCCAGCCCGCUCCCGUGCCACCGCCCCGGGUGCCCCUCGCUCCUCGGGCGCUUCUGUCCCGAGCCGAGCCACCAAGUUUGCCGGGGCGAGAUUUAUUCCCGGCGAAUUCCCCGGGGGGCCGGCAGCUGGAGGAGCCCGGCGCGGCCCCGCCGCCUGCAGCGGAGCAGCCUCCCUCUCUCCCGCAGCUGAAGAUCUCAUCUCCCUCGCCCAAGGCGCUCCUCCGUCCUCCUCCAGAUAUUUUAGGCCCAGGUUUUGCGAGGAAUUUACAGGCGCCGAGCCCAAGCCGAUGCGCUGAAGUCAGCAGGAGGCGAGGAGCGUGCGCAGGGCUCGGGGCCCCGGGGGCGGCGGCGCGGGGAAGGGAUGCUGCUCCCGCUGCCUGGAGCUCGUUUCGCCGCGGGAAGGGCAGAGGUUGGGGCUGGCGGGUGCCAGAACCGCUCUGCUCUCCCUCCGCCAGGACCGACACCACGUUGCGCCUCUCCCUCAUCUCCCCCGCGUCGCGCCAGGCGAGGCCGUGCCGGCCCUCACGCCUGCGCCGGGUUGGUUUUUGGCCGGGGAAGGGGGUCCCCGCGCCCGGGCGCCCCCAUGGCACCGCGUCCCCUGCCAGCACCCACCUGGCGCCCACCUUCGCCGCCACCGUCCGCGCGCCAGCCCCGUCGCCGCACGCUGCCCGCACAUGUGCCGACCCCUCCCGCUCACGCCUGCUGCCCCCC
rnacentral:lncRNA from 1 species